UAGGGAAUCUUCCACAAUGGACGAAAGUCUGAUGGAGCAACGCCGCGUGAGUGAAGAAGGUUUUCGGAUCGUAAAGCUCUGUUGUUGGUGAAGAAGGAUAGAGGCAGUAACUGGUCUUUAUUUGACGGUAAUCAACCAGAAAGUCACGGCUAACUCCGUGUCAG
rnacentral:rRNA from 1 species